AUGGCACAGUCCAAAACCAGCCCCCGUGUCUUCCCGCUGAGCCUCAGGACCAGUGACCCAGCCGGGCAAGUGGUCGUUGCCUGCCUGGUGCAAGGGUUCUUCCCGCCGGAGCCCCUGAGAGUGACUUGGAGCCCCAGCAAGGAAGGCGCGUCCAUCCGGAACUUCCCCGCAGUGAAGUCUGCUUCCGGGAACCUGUACACCACGAGCAGCCAGCUGACCCUGCCGGCUAGCCAGUGCCCGGAUGGCGCGUCCCUGCAAUGCCAAGUGGAGCACUAUUCCAGCACCAGCCCGGCCGUGUCUGUGCCCUGCAGAGUUCCAGUUGACCCCCCUCCUCAGUGUUCCCCGUGCAAUGAACCCCGCCUGUCACUACACAAGCCCGCCCUCGAGGACCUGCUUCUGGGCUCCAAUGCCAGCAUCACGUGCACACUGAGCGGCCUGAACAGCCCCAAGGGUGCCCUGUUCUCCUGGACGCCCUCAGGGGGGAAGCAGGCCAUCCAGAAGCCCCCAGAGCGUGACUCCUGCGGCUGCUACAGUGUGUCCAGUGUCCUUCCAGGCUGUGCUGAGCCAUGGAACCGCGGGGAGAACUUCUCCUGCACCGCCACCCAUCCCGAGCUCAAGACGCCAAAAACUGACACCAUCUCCAAAGUCCUAGAGAACACUUUCCGGCCCCAGGUCCACCUGCUGCCGCCGCCGUCGGAAGAGCUGGCCCUCAAUGAGCUGGUGUCGCUGACGUGCCUCGUGCGAGGCUUCAGCCCCGAGGACGUGCUGGUACGAUGGCUGCAAGGAUCCCAGGAGCUGUCCCGGGAGAAGUACCUGACCUGGGGCCCCCUGCAGGAGCCCGACCAGAGCGUCCCCACCUUCGCCACGACCAGCGUGCUGCGAGUGUCGGCCGAGGACUGGAAGCAGGGGGAGAAGUUCUCCUGCAUGGUGGGGCACGAGGCCCUGCCCCUGGCCUUCACCCAGAAGACCAUCGACCGCCUGGCGGGUAAACCCACCCACGUCAACGUGUCUGUGGUCAUGUCGGAUGUGGAAGGCGUCUGCUACUGA